GUAAAAAAAAAAAAAAAAAAAAGAACCUGCAGGUGCAAGGUUUUGAUCUCUUUCAGUCUCUUUGCUUUAUCAUCUUUUGCCACAGAGUGGAUCUUUAAAUCCUUUCCGCUCCCCAUGACUUUAAACUUUAAAAAC
rnacentral:ribozyme from 14 species